rnacentral:rRNA from 1 species
UACGAAGGGUGCAAGCGUUGUCCGGAAUUAUUGGGCGUAAAGAGCUCGUAGGCGGUUUGUCGCGUCUGCCGUGAAAGUCCGGGGCUCAACUCCGGAUCUGCGGUGGGUACGGGCAGACUAGUGUGAUGUAGGGGAGACUGGAAUUCCUGGUGUAGCGGUGAAAUGCGCAGAUAUCAGGAGGAACACCGAUGGCGAAGGCAGGUCUCUGGGCAUUAACUGACGCUGAGGAGCGAAAGCAUGGGGAGCGAACAGG